rnacentral:piRNA from 1 species
UGGUACAGUUUGAGGACACAGUCCAC